AGUUUGAUCCUGGCUCAGGAUGAACGCUGGCGGCGUGCCUAAUACAUGCAAGUCGAACGAAUCUCUUUUAGAGAUGAGUGGCGAACGGGUGAGUAAUACAUAGGUAACCUGCCCCUGCGCGGGGGAUAACAGGAGGAAACUCCUGCUAAUACCGCAUAGCCAUGAGCACCGCAUGGAGCUCAUGCCAAAUAUCCUUUCGGGGAUAGCGCAGGGAUGGACCUAUGGCGCAUUAGCUGGUUGGCGGGGCAACGGCCCACCAAGGCAACGAUGCGUAGCCGGCCUGAGAGGGCGGACGGCCACAUUGGGACUGAGACACGGCCCAGACUCCUACGGGAGGCAGCAGUAGGGAAUUUUCGGCAAUGGGGGAAACCCUGACCGAGCAACGCCGCGUGAGCGAAGAAGGCCUUCGGGUCGUAAAGCUCUGUUGUAAAGGAAGAACGGCGCAUACAGGAAAUGGUAUGCGAGUGACGGUACUUUACCAGAAAGCCACGGCUAACUACGUGCCAGCAGCCGCGGUAAUACGUAGGUGGCGAGCGUUAUCCGGAAUCAUUGGGCGUAAAGAGGGAGCAGGCGGCCGCAAGGGUCUGUGGUGAAAGACCGAAGCUAAACUUCGGUAAGCCAUGGAAACCGGGCGGCUAGAGUGCGGAAGAGGAUCGUGGAAUUCCAUGUGUAGCGGUGAAAUGCGUAGAUAUAUGGAGGAACACCAGUGGCGAAGGCGACGGUCUGGGCCGCAACUGACGCUCAUUCCCGAAAGCGUGGGGAGCAAAUAGGAUUAGAUACCCUAGUAGUCCACGCCGUAAACGAUGGUCACUAAGUGUCGGGGGUCAAACCCCGGUGCUGCAGUCAACGCAAUAAGUGACCCGCCUGAGUAGUACGUUCGCAAGAAUGAAACUCAAAGGAAUUG
rnacentral:rRNA from 1 species